rnacentral:rRNA from 1 species
UGGGGAAUAUUGCACAAUGGGCGCAAGCCUGAUGCAGCCAUGCCGCGUGUAUGAAGAAGGCCUUCGGGUUGUAAAGUACUUUCAGCGGGGAGGAAGGGAGUAAAGUUAAUACCUUUGCUCAUUGACGUUACCCGCAGAAGAAGCACCGGCUAACUCCGUGCCAGCAGCCGCGGUAAUACGGAGGGUGCAAGCGUUAAUCGGAAUUACUGGGCGUAAAGCGCACGCAGGCGGUUUGUUAAGUCAGAUGUGAAAUCCCCGGGCUCAACCUGGGAACUGCAUCUGAUACUGGCAAGCUUGAGUCUCGUAGAGGGGGGUUGAAUUCCAGGUGUAGCGGUGAAAUGCGUAGAGAUCUGGAGGAAUACCGGUGGCGAAGGCGGCCCCCUGGACGAAGACUGACGCUCAGGUGCGAAAGCGUGGGGAGCAAACAGG